rnacentral:snRNA from 1 species
UCAGCUCUCUUUGCCUUUUGGCUCAGAUCAAGUGAAGUAGCUGUUCCGUCUUUUUUAAUCUCAAGACCGCCUCCUACGGGAGUGCAAUCUUUUGAUUAAACCAGUUUUUGGAAACCGCCCUAGGGGCUCUGAGCUCUGCUUAAUCUCUCUGGGGCACGGUGUCGCCUCUAUUGCACUGCCUGAGGCUGACGCGACCCUUC